rnacentral:rRNA from 1 species
GACGAACGCUGGCGGCGUGCUUAAUACAUGCAAGUCGAACGAGGUUGAGUCAGUGGCAACACUGAUGACUGCCUAGUGGCGAACGGGUGAGUAACACGUGAGGAACCUGCCCCGAAGACCGGGAUAACCCUCCGAAAGGAGAGCUAAUACCGGAUACCCCCACCGACGCCGCAUGGCGUCGGUGAGGAAAUAGGAUUCCGCUUCGGGAGGGUCUCGCGGCCUAUCAGCUUGUUGGUGGGGUAAC